CAUACGCUGAAGUCACCUGCGAUGCCGUCAUGUGUCUCUCCAAACUUUUGGAUUUGGAUGGCACAGUCUUGUUGGCGUCCUUCCCGGCCAAGCGCUCGAAGACUUCUUUCUUUACACUAAUUUUGCCAAACUGUGUUGUUCUACAUCUCUCGCGGGGGUUUUGAACACACUCUCUCGGACGCUACCUGAGCGCAGGACACUUGAAGCACGAGGUGUGCGACUGUUUGGCUCCGAGAGGAUUUUGGACUGUCGAGAUUCGGCACCACUAGGCCCUCGGUUCUCCUUGGUGACAACAGUGUCCUCCUUUCUCUGCUGCUUCUCUCUUCGCUGCUGCUCAUGCAGAUAUGGGGAGUUGAGGAGCUGAGGCGGCAACUGGGAUCCUGUGGGCUUCACUCGGUUUGUAACCUGAAGAAACAGACGCUUGUGGCUGUUGUUGAGGAAUGUAAUCGCACUGCCUCUAUGACCCAGUCUUCCAGCUCUGCCAAUCUUGAAAAGAAUUAUUUGUACCUGAUGAACAUAUUCAUCCAUGUUGGAAGGCAUGUCGAAGUUCACUACUAGCUUGACAUUGACCAAGUCGAGGCCUCUGCCCAAAACUCCAGUGCUGAUGACCACUUCAAAGUCUCCAUCAAGCAGGCCCUAAAACAGUUCAAAAGGUCAAACAGUAUGUUUCAUUAAGCAUAGUGCUACGCACUGUAACCACAAUAAGUGCUAACAUAUGCCAAAGCCAAAUAAAGAAACCACUGUCCCUUUUAAACAGCAAUCACAACUUCCUGAACCAUCAA